rnacentral:lncRNA from 1 species
UGGGGCCAUUGGGCUGCCUUAGAUUCCCCCACCUCUCAGCCUGCUGCCUCUGGACAAAGCUCUGCAGAGGAGCACCAUCUCCUUCAGCGCCCUCCUGCCUUUGGGGUGCAAGUUUCCUGAAGGACUUGAGUGAGAUGUCACCAAGCGACAGGCUGUCAGGCUCUUGGCAGCAAGUCCUGGCCCAGCGACUCACGGCAGAGUCUCUCCUUGGGGCAUCUGUCCUUAUCAGGGGUGGAUGCUGUCAGACUUGCUAAUGGUGGAAUUUCUGGCAUGUGGCAGGGCCAAGUGCAGUGGCUCACACCUAUAAUCCCAGCACUUUGGGAGGCUGAGGCACGAGGAUUGCUUGAGCCCAAGAGUUCAUUACCAGCCUGGGCAACAGAGCGAGACCCCGCCUCCACAAAAAAAUUUUUAAAAAUUAGCUGGGCAUGGUGGCCUGUGCCUGUAGUCCCAGCUCUUUGGGAGACUGAGGCAGGAGGAUCAACUUGAGCCCAGAAGGUGGAAGCUGCAGUAAGCCAUGGUUCUGCCAGCACACUUGAGCCUGGACCACAGAGCAAGACACUAUAGAGAAGACAGGCAGGUGAAAACAAAGGCAGAGACCAGAGUUAUACGUCCAAAAGCCAAGGAAUGCCGGGGACUGCCAGAAGCUGGAAGAGGCAAGGCAGGAUCCCCCACUAAAGGCCUUGGAGGGAGCACGGCUUUAGCAACACCUCAAUUUGAGAUGUCUAUUCUCCGAACAGUGGGAAUAAGUGUCUGCUGCUGUAAACCACCCUGCCUGUGGCACUUUGUUACAGCAGCCCAGGAACCUGACCCAGCCAGGCUGCUCCUGCUACCCAGCAUGCCCUUCUCUCAUCCCUCCAGCUGGUCUCUCACUGCCUUCGAGCCCCAUCACCUGCUCGGGCUCCCCCUCUGUGUGUCCCCAAUUCUGGACACUUAUUCAGCAGACCUGUAAGGUUUGCUGGCCAGCCUACCUCCCUGGCUAGACUGCAGGCUCCUUCAGGGCAGGCCUGACCUGUGCUAGGGCAGCAUGAUGCCUGGUACAGAAUAGGUGCUCCUUAGAUGUGGGGUGAAUAAAGGAAUGCUCGAAGGGUGAUGGGCCCCUAUG